rfam:Crassostrea gigas strain 05x7-T-G4-1.051#20 contig12388, whole genome shotgun sequence.
GUGGGGUACGGAGACAUGGCGCCAAAGACGUACGUGGGUAUGUUUGUGGGGGCGCUGUGUGCUCUGCUGGGGGUACUGACUAUUGCGCUCCCAGUCCCCGUCAUAGUCAGCAAC